UUGUAGUUCAGUGGUAGAGAGUCUGUCUUGCAUUAGAAGGUCCCUGGUUCAAGCCCAGGGAGAGCAG